UUUCAAGUAAAGUAUAAGGGAGUUGUACUCCAGGCUAGUAGGUGGCGGUAAUGCAACAAAUUGGAUGCCAACCGCCGUUAAACCGCAGAAGAAGAAGCACAUUGUUGGGAACGUCAUUAGACGGAAAAGGAAGAACGUCAUUAUACGGAAGAGGAAGGAAAGUGUGUUUGAAACUAAAAUCGCUAGUAACAACCAGCAUCAAACGUAACAUUGCUUGUCAAAUGGAUAUCAUUUCUCGUUAUGGUUUGUAGUUAUGCUGGCUUUGCUUCUGCUGUCUUUCUACAACAUCCGAAGGACUCACUAAACAGAGAACAUCCCUGGUCAUCCCUACUGCCUCUGAUCUGGAGGACUCACUAAACAGAGAACAUCCCUGGUCAUCCCUACUGCCUCUGAUCUGGAGGACUCACUAAACAGAGAACAUCCCUGGUCAUCCCUACUGCCUCUGAUCUGGAGGACUCACUAAACAGAGAACAUCCCUGGUCAUCCCUACUGCCUCUGAUCUGGAGGACUCACUAAACAGAGAACAUCCCUGGUCGUCCCUACUGCCUCUGAUCUGGAGGACUCACUAAACAGAGAACAUCCCUGGUCAUCCCUACUGCCUCUGAUCUGGAGGACUCACUAAACAGAGAACAUCCCUGGUCAUCCCUACUGCCUCUGAUCUGGAGGACUCACUAAACACAUGCUUCAUUUGUAAAUGAUGUCUGAUUGUUGGAGUGUUCCCCUGGUUAUUUCUUAAAUAAAAUAACAAGAGAAUCGUGCUGUCUGGUUUGCUUAAUAUAUGGAAGGUCAAAUCAUUUAUACUUUUACCACUGAUACUUAAGUAUAUUUUAGCAAUGACGUUUACUUAGUAUUUUACUGGGUGACUUUCACUUUUACUUGAGUCAUUUUCUAUUAACAUCGUCUUAUUAUUGUACCUUUUUCCCUUCAUUUGCCUCCUACUGUCUAUAAGCUGUCAUAACAUGUGGGUUUUUUCAUGGGGACCAGGUAUCGGAACGCCUUUGAAGGAUCUACAAAG
rnacentral:lncRNA from 1 species